AGGGAAUAGAUACCCAGGUAGUCCACGCUGUAAACGAUGGAUGCUAGCUGUGAUACGUAUCGACCCGUGUCGUAGCGAAGCUAACGCGUUAAGCAUCCCGCCUGUGGAGUACGGCCGCAAGGCUAAAACAUAAAGGAAUUGACGGGGACCCGCACAAGCGGUGGAGCGUGUUGUUUAAUUCGAUGGUAAGCGAAGAACCUUACCCAGGUUUGACAUCCUUGGAAAUUCUGCGAAAGCAGAGUGUGCCUUUUGGAACCAAGUGACAGGUGAUGCAUGGCCGUCUUCAGCUCGUGUCGUGAGACGUU
rnacentral:rRNA from 1 species